ACUGGACAUACUGGAUUUACUACUAACCACUAAACCAACACACAAAGGAGCAAACACCCACUCACAGCGAUGUCAAAUCAUGUGUUUGGACAGACAGAAACACAGAUUAACAUUCAGCAGAACGAUGAAGGAGUGGAGUAAUUCAGAGAGCAGGUGCAAAACAGCUGCACCUACCACCCAAGCCCAAGUGACGCGUAACCAUGACACCUACCACAAAUUAUAAGGGAUAUUAGCAAGGAAAAGAUGGCAAGCUCAUCGGGGACACUCUCAAAAGACAAGACACGGAAUCAGAGGUAAUGGGAGAAUGAUUUUGCUCCAAUGUGAGUAAAGAAAGAGGAAUGAAACAUUUCAAAAGCUUCACCACCUAACCACCACUAUAUAUAACAUACUACUGACAAUCCAGAGGAA